GACGAACGCUGGCGGCGUGCUUAACACAUGCAAGUCGAGCGAUGAAGUUCCUUCGGGAAUGGAUUAGCGGCGGACGGGUGAGUAACACGUGGGUAACCUGCCUCAUAGAGGGGAAUAGCCUUCCGAAAGGAAGAUUAAUACCGCAUAAGAUUGUAGUACCGCAUGGUAUAGCAAUUAAAGGAGCAAUCCGCCAUGAGAUGGACCCGCGUCGCAUUAGCUAGUUGGUGAGGUAACGGCUCACCAAGGCGACGAUGCGUAGCCGACCUGAGAGGGUGAUCGGCCACAUUGGGACUGAGACACGGCCCAGACUCCUACGGGAGGCAGCAGUGGGGAAUAUUGCACAAUGGGGGAGACCCUGAUGCAGCAACGCCGCGUGAGUGAUGAAGGUCUUCGGGUCGUAAAGCUCUUUGAUCAGGGACGAUAAUGACGGUACCUGAAAAACAAGCCACGGCUAACUACGUGCCAGCCGCCGCUGUAACAC
rnacentral:rRNA from 1 species